UAAGGAAUAUUGCUCAAUGGGAGAAAUCCUGAAGCAGCAACGCCGCGUGGAGGAUGAAGGGUCUAUGACUUGUAAACUCCUGUAAAGAAGGAAAAAAUUCCCAUUUGAUGGGAGAUGAUGGUACUUCUGGAGUAAGCCCCGGCUAACUACGUGCCAGCAGCCGCGGUAAUACGUAGGGGGCAGGCGUUGUCCGGAUUUACUGGGUGUAAAGGGUGCUCAGGCGGAUUUGUAAGUCAGAGGUGAAAUCUUACAGCUUAACUGUGAAACUGCCUUUGAUACUGCAAGGCUAGAGUAUGGAAGAGAGUGAUGGAAUAUCUGGUGUAGCAGUGAAAUGCGUAGAUAUCAGAUAGAACACCAAUGGCGAAGGCAGUCACUUGGUCCAUUACUGACGCUAAAGCACGAAAGCGUGGGUAGCAAACA
rnacentral:rRNA from 1 species